UCAUCAUUUCUUUUUAUUGUGACAUUUGAUAAAAUCAUAAAUAAUCAUAAAUAUCACAAAAUCAUAACACAGAUAAACAGUGACCAUCAUAACACACUUUCCACUCAAAUAAACAGUGACCAUCAUGACACACUUUCCACUCAAAUAAACAGUGACCAUCAUGACACAUUUCACUCAACUAAACAUCACUCAACUAAAAUAAACACAGCAUAUCAUGACACAUACUCACAAUUUAUUACGCAUUCAACAUAUAAUCUUAUACCUUCAUGACACAUUCAACAUAUAAUCUUAUACCUUCAUGACACAUUCAACAUAUAAUCUUAUACCUUCAUGACACAUUCAACAUAUAAUCUUAUACCUUCAUGACACAUUCAACAUAUAAUCUUAUACCUUCAAGACACGUUUAACAUAAUAUUCAAAUGAAAGACUAUAAGAACUCAUACAUUUAACAGAAAUCUUAAUAAUUAUGCAAGUCUGAACAUUUUUGACAACUAAUUCAUAAGAUUUUACACAAAUGUAAACUACAUAGUAACUUUGGUAACCCUGACUAAACUAGACAAUAGACAAUACCCAGAAUAUAAUGCCCAAUAUAUUGGCUGUACGUCUAAACCAUAUGUAUAGUAGAUAUAAGAAGAUGUGGUUUGAGUGCCAAGAGACCCAACUCUCUCAUCCAAUACGUCUAAACCAUAUGUAUAGUAGAUGUAAGAAGAUGUGGUAUGAGUGCCAAGAGACCCAACUCUCUCAUCCAAGUCACAAUUUGUAAAAGUAAACCAUUAUAGGUCAAAGUUUGGUCUUCAACACGAAUCCUUAGCUAUAGGUUCAUAUAUUAAUAUUACGUCAAACUAUUAUAAUUUGAAAGUUGAGAUCUAACUCCCAACAUAUUUUUUUUAAGUUAAAAUUUUAUUCUACUUCAACGGAAAAGAAAAAAGAAUAAUACAUAUUGUUGGCCUUAUAUAUUAAUGACCAAAGAACAACACUGUUUAUUACUUCCAGACAUGACCCAGACAGCAUCAUAAUGUUGUGAAUGUUUCAGCAAUGGAUAAAAAUAGGCAAUGGAAUAUAAGUAACACAACAUGUCAGAACCUCUCAUAAAUCUCUCGCAAACUUAACAUUUGUAAAUUUUUCAGGAAAAAAAUAUUUACAAAUAAGGGUAAUAUUUUUUACAAUGCAUAGAUUAUAUAUAUAUAUAUAAUAAAAUUCUCAAGGUGCCUAGUACUAAUACAGAAAAACUUAUCACAUUUAGGAAGAUACAGCACUAAUGACAUAAAGGAAUAAAAAAAUGUGUGUAUGUACAUCCACUAUACCAUUUUGUACACAAUCAGAACAAAUUUUCCUCAAUAGUAUUACCAGCUUAUCUAUUGGAAAUCUGAAAUACUGUGGAUUCAUUCACGUUUAUUGAUUAAGGAAAAAAAUAAUUUGAAUUUGUGGAUAUUUUAUUUCCUGGUCUUGUUUAUAAAGGCUUAAAAGUAUACAAUUUUUGUACUUUGUUGUAAUUUAAAUACAUGGUUUAUCAAUUCACACGAAAAUUUGUACCCCAUAAAUAAUAAUAUAUCCACCAUAAUCAGACUAAAGGAAAUUGUGUAGUAUUGUUACCACAGUUACUGUUUUUCCAACAUAAAUUCCAUUAUUUAUAUAUUCCUUUCAAUUAUUAAGAAUGAACACAUUAUCCUAUACCCAAAAGGUUUCCACUUGAACAUGUUCAAACAAACAAAUGGAAGUUUUUAACGACCUUGACGGAGUUCAAACAAACAAAUGGAAGUUUUAAACGACCUUGACGGAGGUCAAACAACAAAUAGAAGUUUUUAACGACCUUCAAUGGCUAUACAGCCCUUGCACGGUCGGCCCUGGUUUGCACCUUUUUGGGCAUUGAAUAAUUAAUUUUUUAUCACAUGGUAAUUCACAUAAUUUAGAAUGAUAAAAUAAAAUUUAAUGAAAAAAUAAUAUAGGAGUUCAAACCUAACUUCUCAUAUGAAUAUAUACACUCUUUGCAAGCUUUUUCAACCAAUCAUUCACAAGCUUAUUUUUUUUUACCAAUUAUUUACCAGUAAUUUACAUAUCAAUCAUUAACCAGCAAUGAAUGUAUCCACAUAUUUUUAACCAAUCAUUUACAAGCAAUGCACAUAUCAAUUAUUUUUGACCAGUCAAAGAAAGCUAUACAAUACAUUAUCAUGAUUAUGAUAGUGCUGUUACAAAAUCUAUUUUGGGGAAUGGAAGAUACUAACUAACAUCGCCUUGAUAAAACAAAAAAUUAUAAAAUCAACAACCUUUUUUGCUGCCUAGCAGCUGAUAUAUCUUAAUUAAAUUGCUAUGAUAAAAUCUUGAGAUAUUACUAUACAUUUCUCAGAGUAGACACAGUAAAAUAGGACUAUUAUUCAUCACAAACACAACCAUUCAUAAUUAGUGCUAUCAUAUGACCAUUUAUUGCACACGUUUGAAAUAUCAAAACAAAAUAAUAUCAAAUCAUAUUUCUGUUUUCUUAUUUGACGGAAUAUGGUUCAUUGACUGUGAAGGAAAACCUUUUAAAAGUAAGAUUGUUGCAUGAAUUCCAUAUAUGAAAUCUAAACUUUAGAGGAGCCCUUUAAAAGUAUUGGUAUGGUUUGUUUCAUGAGUGCCAUAUAUUUGAACACUGAGAUAUGUUAGAGGAACCCCUUUAAAAAGUAUCGGUAUGGUUUGUUUCAUGAGUGCCAAAUAUCUGAACACUGAGAUAUGUCUUUUUAUGUGUAACCUUUUAAUAAACUUUAACCCUUGUUUUUGCUGCUCACAAAAACAGCAUGCCUAGGUCUCUGUAUAAAGUUGACAUAUGUAAACAUGGAUAUAAAAAAACCUUUAAGCAAGCUUUUGUGAAAUAAUGGCCAGUGACACAUAGUUAUUUCCUUUCCAAAAAUAGAAUUCUGACUAAUUUGGGGGAGGUCAUUAAAGCAAAUAAUUUGGCAUGACCUGAUUUCUCUAUUUUUUUCAAAAUUUAAUGUACAAACACAAAGCAUUUAAUUUCUAACCACAUGACCUGAUCUUUUUUUUCUUCUCAAAUACACAAACAAGAAGCAUUUAAUAUAUUAAAACCCUGAUUUACUUUAACAAUUGAGGAUAUUUUAACAAAUAUUUUGAUUGAAUGUAACCAUUUUCUCAUUAUAAACAGGAAUAACAUUACUUAUCAUAACUAUAUUUAUACUUUAUGAAAAUAUCAGUCAACAGGUAUUUG
rnacentral:lncRNA from 1 species